GCCUGGGUGGCUCAGUCGGUUGAGCAUCCGACUUUGGCUCAGGUCAUGAUCUCGCAAUCUGUGGGUUCGAGUCCCGCGUCGGGCU
rnacentral:tRNA from 1 species